rnacentral:rRNA from 1 species
GACGAACGCUGGCGGCGCGCUUAACACAUGCAAGUCGAGCGAGGACCAGGAUUUCGGUCCUGGGGACAGCGGCGAACGGGUGAGUAACACGUGGAUAACCUGCCCUCGGCACCGGGAUAGCCCGGGGAAACCCGGAUUAAUACCGGAUGGCCCUUCCGGCUCACGAGCCGGUCGGAAAAGGUAGCUUCGGCCUCCGGCCGAGGAUGGGUCCGCGGCGGAUUAGCUUGUUGGUGGGGUAACGGCCUACCAAGGCUCCGAUCCGUAGCUGGUCUGAGAGGACGAUCAGCCACACUGGGACUGAGACACGGCCCAGACUCCUACGGGAGGCGGCAGUGGGGAAUCUUGCGCAAUGGGCGAAAGCCUGACGCAGCGACGCCGCGUGAGGGAGGAAGGCCUUCGGGUUGUAAACCUCUUUCAGGAGGGACGAAGCUACUCGGGUGAAUAGCCCAGAGGGUGACGGUACCUCCAGAAGAAGCCCCGGCUAACUACGUGCCAGCCGCCGCGGUAACAC